AUAGUGUGUCAGGCAAGUUGGCCUUGCUCAGUUAUCGAAACUUCACUAUUUGCUCGUUGUUAUCGAACAGCACAAUCUCCCAAGAUCAUCCUUUUAAUAAUAACUGAUCUCAACCCAUUUAUGUACUUCAAUUCAACCAUUCUAAAUAGAUUCCGAUCUCUUUUCUGGAUGUGAUAAUUUUUCCGAUGGAUCAAACCGAAGAACCCCCCCCCCCCCUUCCGCUUCCACCCCGAAUGUUUGCGGUUGGCGAUGAACGUGUCGGCGUUAGGGUUACACCAUAUCACAAACCCUUGUGUAUUCACAGAAUCCUCAACGCUCUCGACGCAGAUGAAGUUCAGAUUAUUCGAGAGACCCCGUUCGGCAAGCUUGUCGAAAUUGCAGACAAACCCACGUUCUCUGGCAGAUUUGGUAGAUUUCUCUUAUCCAGACAAUUGAAGGUGGCGAAGAAGCACGAAGCCUGGUUCUUAUUUGCUGGAAAACCAGUUAGAUUCUCACUAGUCACGGGGUUUAAUUGCCGCAAUUAUCCGCCACGUAGGAAGAUGAAGAGCAAGAAGAACAUAGUAGAGAAGCCAAACUGGGGAGAGCUUUUUGGCUCUAUGAGGGAAGUUCCGGUUAACUACGUCAUUAUGAUGCUGAAGAAGAAGACCGUACCUGAUAGAGAAAUGAGGAUCAAGUACGCCUUACUUGCAUUGCUGUCCGCAGUCAUUCUACCAACGUCUCAUAACCCCCGCAUAUCGAAAGAAUACGCAGAGAAGAUAAAGGAAAUUGAUGAGUUCUUUGCUUAUCCUUGGGGUCGCGCUUCCUUUGAAAUGCUUAUAAGUAGCAUAAAAGAGAGGGAUGAAGUUUCAUUAUCACAAAAAACCAUUGCUCUGUAAGGGUUUGUUUUAUCGAUACAGCUUGUCAUGAUAGAAGCCGCUCCCUCACUCACCAGAGUCGUACAAGCCGGUGGGUCAUCUGAUUCUGAAGGUGACUUUCAAGGAGAGGACGUGUUGGAGGACGAUGAUACAGAGGGAAAGAAAAGUAUCAAUCCGGCGCAUGUACGAGAUAUUGAUUCUUCCUGCAAGACCGACGUUGUGUCCAGCAUUGCUAAUGGAGUGGAGCUCGACAAUGUCGAUGCGGAAAUUAUUUGGCCGGACCCCGAAGAGGAUGUUCUUGUGGCCAACAUGGAGAAGUGUAUUCAGGAGGGGUUUACGUUUUGUAAUUCCCAUUUUACCGGUGGUGCUUCUACAGCCGAUGUUAACCGCAUGCGUGAAGAUGCCAAAAAGGAAAACAACUCACGCAAAACUACAAAAGGGAACGUGAAUCCUACCCCCGGUGUUGCCUUCGAUGCUGACUACGUCGUCUCCAUCCUCAAAAGUAGUCUAUCUGCAGACCUGCGUCGGAUCGAGGAAGAAAUAAAGAACAUUGGUCAGACGUUAACCAAAUCGCAAAAUCAAAUGGAGUCUCACAUACAAGUCAUGUUCGAUACAUUCAGAAGAAUAUUGCGAAUGUGAUAACCACCCAGUGCACUCGAACACACGUUGAUACACCACAUGCUUCUCAAGCAGACACUCAUGCCAACAUGAACAAGUCAACUCCUGCGACAAAUCCCUUCGAUCCAUGUCUCAUCAUCGAAGGCGCUGUGCGUUUCGCCAACCAAGUGGCACCACAAAGUGGAGAUUUCGACUUAGGAGAUGACCUAGGAAACGAAAAAGCCAUACCACCCGAUACCAACGGUUCUAGAGAUGGAGAUGACUUGGUCACCUCUGCCGAUGAUGCUGUUGAUGUGGAAGCUAAUGCAGACGCCGUUGAUGAACUAGAUUGUGCGGUCGACAUGUUCAGCAGCCCACGCCUGAGCAAACGUAGACAUGCGACAUAAGUGGUCACCUCUGCCGAUGUUGAUGUGGAAGCUAAUGCAGACGUCGUUGAUGAACUAGAUCCUGCGGACGACAUGGUCAGCAGCCCACGUCUGAGCCAACUUAGACAUGCGACAGAGGACAAUGCUAACAAGAGGACUGCACAAAUGGGUCCACCUCCGGAACAUGGUGUCCAACGCACCCCAUCUACGUGUGUCGUAAACAAUCCACAAACACCUGAGCCCGUAGCUUACGUGAAUUCAAAUCUGGAUAAUGUGCAGACAAAUCUUGUUUUCCCAAAGCCUACAUUCUCUCUUGGACUAACACAAGAAGAACGUCAUGUCAGCAAUGUUGAUGAGUCCUUGGAAGCGGCUGCACCAAUCAGUCUCGCAGACAAUGAAGAACCGUUCCAACCACACAUGAAAAGUAAGAGACAAAAAGUUGUGCCGCGUGCGCUUGUUGGAGACUACCAAUGAAAUAAACGAUUCCUCACCCGAGCAUGGGAAGCCCAUGUUAAUGCUUUGCAUCGUGGCCCUAACAUUGACUACGCCGCAAAAACUGGAGCUCUUUCAGAAAAGCUAAAAACAGGAUUUGUUAUCAAUGUACAGUCAAUGUCUCGACAGCAACAGCUUGUUUGCUUUUCUUCGUCAAUCUUCCCAUUUAACUGCGAAGUGGUAGACGUUCUCAUCCAUCACACCCGAUCGUUGGUACAAGCACACUCUCAAGACCAUCAACCCAACAGCCUCGUUUUCCUGGACACUAAGUUUGUUACCCUGCUAUCCGAGACUUUCGUAAAGUUCUCCAAGUCCUCUAAGAAAGAGAGCUACCGUUUCCCGCAUUUGUUGCUUGAAUACCUUGCUGGAGAUUGCCCAAUUACCGAAGCUACUCGCAUCUACUUUCCUUUCAACUUCGACAAAAAGCAUUGGGUAGGUGUUUGUGUUGACUGUUCCCUUUCGCAGGUCUUAGUGUUAGACUGCAACACAUCGCUUAGGACGGACGGGAUGAUCAACAAAGAAAUCCAUCACAUUUCGGAAAUGUUUCCUUACCUAUUGAGACGUGCGGCGAAGCAAUUCUUUUCCAAAAAUUUAAAGACUCUAAGCAUUGACAGACCCCGUAUCGUUCCCCAGAACCACAACAACUUCGACUCCAGUAUGACCUCUAUCCUACUAAUGCAAGCGAAUGCGGUUGCUGGUCUAGAUGUCUGCAAAUGCAUCACACCCGAUGUCCUUGACGUUGAGGUUCCAAAGACUUCAGUCAUGAUCUAUGAAGAUAACGCCGGCGUACUUUGAUCCUAGCUUCCCAACCUCUGCUUGCUAUAUUUUUGGCUCCUUUUGUACUUUCUGUGUUGUUUCUGUGUUGUAUAAUGGGGUGGAACCACACCUUUUCAGUCUUUUGUAACCCCCGACUUCUUAAUGUCGCACUGGUGAAAUUUAUGUAUAACUAAAGCUUUUGAAAUGACCAAACUGUAUGUUUUAACGAGCUAUAAUCUGCUGUAUCCGAAAUUUCGAACGAUAUUUUGGCUCUAAAAUAUAUCUAGCCACUUACUCGUACGCUGAAGUUCACGUGUUCACGCUGUUGAUAGCUCACUAUGGAUUUUUUUAACCAGUCAUAAGGAGGCGUGUAUAUGUAGCUUACUUUCUUAGCUGGCUAACAUCAUAUACCAACUCCGUGAGACAACAUAUUUUACGAGCUACACAGAUGACUUAUCCGACUACUCCCAAUUUGGUUGAUUCAUUUAUAAUAUCUUAACCGGUUUCAAAAAUCUUAAAGAUCAGGUGUUCAAUGUUUCGCCGGUUUUAUAUGUUCACAUUCGUAAAAUCCAAUCACUUUGAUUGUAUGAUCUCAUUCGUCUCAUCUAAUAUGUCAUUCUGAAAUACUUCUAGGAGCCUACAAAGGUUUGCACAUUAGGAAAUGCAUGCUAAUUUUUUUACCUCUCAUACACCGAAUAAAUUUAACCGGCCAUCACAAUGCAUGUCUUUCUUACAUACACAUUAGCUGGCUAACCUUAUUACUCUACAACCAUUCACAAUUAAAAUGAAGCAAUCGUAAGUUUCCGUCCAAUUCUUAGUGAGUCUCAUUCUUAUUUGGGCUUCGAUUCAUUAUGGGCUGAAACCCUAACCCUAUGUGAUGUGUCCGUUUAUCCACACGACGCCGUUUUCUAUCUCAUUUCCUAUUACUUUGUCUUGUUUCCUGAUACCCUCGGAAUUUGUCACACACAUCCGCCGUUCAAUUAUCUCGCAAGAAGGAUGUCGCACUCCGCAAAUCCCAGCUCCUCCUCUGUUUCAGGUGGAGGUAAUGUGAGCCGUCGUUGAGGAGAAAGGCAGAGGGGCAUACCGAAAUUCUGUAGAUGCGGUGAGGAAGCUACGAUCAAGACGUCGGGAACAGCUAAGAACCCGGGGAGUCUUUUUUACUGUUGUCCACUUCGCUCGGAGGGGACAAUUAUCACCUGUUCACUUGGACCGACGAACGUGUGGUCGAAGAGGUCGAGGACGUAAAGUGUAUGGUUAACGAUAUAAAGACUCAGCUGUCGGAGGUUAAAGCUGAUGUUGCUGGGCUGGAGAAUCAGCUCGAACAUAGCAAUGUUAUGAAUGGCCUGGCGAGGAAUCGUUGCUGCGCUAUCUUGUGAGUAUUUUGUGGCGUCCUCUUUGAUCUUGAUGGAUUGUAAGUUCAUAACGUAUGUGGAAUCUUGUAUUUUGUCACUUCGCACUUGCGUAUCAUCUUGACUAGGAUAUGUUGAUAUUUGUUUUUUGGUGUGUACCGUGGGGGUAUGCCGGUCUGCGUGUCGUCCAUAUAUGAAAACUUAUAUAUUUUA